rnacentral:rRNA from 1 species
AUUGAACGCUGGCGGCAGGCCUAACACAUGCAAGUCGAGCGGAUGAAGGGAGCUUGCUCCUGGAUUCAGCGGCGGACGGGUGAGUAAUGCCUAGGAAUCUGCCUGGUAGUGGGGGAUAACGUCCGGAAACGGGCGCUAAUACCGCAUACGUCCUGAGGGAGAAAUUGGGGGAUCUUCGGACCUCACGCUAUCAGAUGAGCCUAGGUCGGAUUAGCUAGUUGGUGGGGUAAAGGCCUACCGAGGCGACGAUCCGUAACUGGUCUGAGAGGAUGAUCAGUCACACUGGAACUGAGACACGGUCCAGACUCCUACGGGAGGCAGCAGUGGGGAAUAUUGGACAAUGGGCGAAAGCCUGAUCCAGCCAUGCCGCGUGUGUGAAGAAGGUCUUCGGAUUGUAAAGCACUUUAAGUUGGGAGGAAGGGCAGAAAGUUAAUACCUUGCUGUUUUGACGUUACCAACAGAAUAAGCACCGGCUAACUUCGUG